rnacentral:rRNA from 1 species
CAGUCGCCGCGGUAACACGAAGGGGGCUAGCGUUGUUCGGAAUGACUGGGCGUAAAGGGCGCGUAGGCGGCGAUCAAAGUCAGGCGUGAAAUUCCUGGGCUCAACCUGGGGGCUGCGCUUGAUACUGGGUUGCUUGAGUGGGGAAGAGGGUCGUGGAAUUCCCAGUGUAGAGGUGAAUUUCGUAGAUAUUGGGAAGAACACCGGUGGCGAAGGCGGCGACCUGGUCCUUUACUGACGCUGAGGCGCGAAAGCGUGGGGAGCAAACAGGAUUAGAUACCCGCGUAGUCCCUGUCUCUUAUAC